GUCUACGGCCAUACCACCCUGAACGCACCCAAUCUCGUCUGAUCUCGGAAGUUAAGCAGGGUCGGGCCUGGUUAGUACUUGGAUGGGAGAAAUGCAACCACUGGGCCCUACCCUAGACC
rnacentral:rRNA from 1 species